rnacentral:rRNA from 1 species
AGAGUUUGAUCAUGGCUCAGGAUGAACGCUGGCGGCGUGCCUAAUACAUGCAAGUCGAACGAGGUGCUUUUGUAGCAAUACGAGAGUAUCCUAGUGGCGAACGGGUGAGUAACGCGUUGGUGACCUACCCCAAAGUGUGGGAUAACAGUCCGAAAGGAUUGCUAAUACCGCAUGUGGUCAUUGGAUCUAGAAACUGAUGACUAAAGGAGCAAUUCGCUUUGGGAGGGACCUGCGUCCCAUCAGCUAGUUGGUGAGGUAAUGGCUCACCAAGGCGACGACGGGUAGGGGACCUGAGAGGGUGGCCCCCCACAAUGGAACUGAAACACGGUCCAUACACCUACGGGUGGCAGCAGUAGGGAAUAUUGCACAAUGGGCGAAAGCCUGAUGCAGCAACGCCGCGUGUGUGAUGAAGGCCUUCGGGCCGUAAAGCACUUUUCUGGGAGAUGAGAAAGGACAGUAUCCCAGGAAUAAGUCUCGGCUAACUACGUGCCAGCCGCCGCGGUAAUAC